UGCUGAUGGAUGUGCAGUUGUUCUAGUCU
rnacentral:piRNA from 1 species